GACCGAGCAACGCCGCGUGAGUGAAGACGGUUUUCGGAUCGUAAAGCUCUGUUGUAGGGGAAGAACGUGUGUAAGAGUGGAAAGCUUACACAGUGACGGUACCCUACCAGAAAGGGACGGCUAACUACGUGCCAGCAGCCGCGGUAAUACGUAGGUCCCGAGCGUUGUCCGGAUUUAUUGGGCGUAAAGGGAGCGCAGGCGGUUUAGUAAGUCUGAAGUUAAAGGCAUUGGCUCAACCAAUGUAUGCUUUGGAAACUGUUAGACUUGAGUGCAGAAGGGGAGAGUGGAAUUCCAUGCGUAGCGGUGAAAUGCGUAGAUAUAUGGAGGAACACCGGUGGCGAAAGCGGCUCUCUGGUCUGUCACUGACGCUGAGGCUCGAAAGCGUGGGUAUCGAACAGGAUUAGAUACCCUGGUAGUCCACGCCGUAAACGCUGAGUGCUAGGUGUUAGGUCCUUUCCGGGACUUAGCUGCCGACGCUAACGCAUUAAGCACUCCGCCUGGGGAGUACGACCGUAAGGUUGAAACUCAAAGGAAUUGACGGGGGCCCGCACAAGCGGUGGAGCAUGUGGUUUAAUUCGAAGCAACGCGAAGAACCUUACCAGGUCUUGACAUCCCGAUGCCCGCUCUAGAGAUAGAGUU
rnacentral:rRNA from 1 species